UCUCCGUAGGUGAACCUGCGGGAGGAUCAUUACUGUAUAACCGAGGUCCGAGUCCUGCCGUUGACCCGUAGGGUAGUUCACGCCCGAGUGGCGUCAUACACAUCCAUCUCACCCCUAUCUGCACCACCGCGUGGGUCCCCCUUUGGCUCGGUCGGAGGGGGGCCUACGUUUUCAUACAAACUUUGCUUGCUGUGUAGAAUGUAAUUUUUGACUUUCCGCUCACGCAAUCUAUACUACUUUCAACAACGGAACUCUUGCAUCUCGCAACGACGAAGAACC
rnacentral:misc_RNA from 1 species